rnacentral:rRNA from 1 species
UACGAAGGGGGCGAGCGUUGUUCGGAAUUACUGGGCGUAAAGGGCGCGCAGGCGGCUCUGAAAGUCAGAUGUGAAAGCCCCGGGCUUAACCUGGGAACUGCAUUUGAUACUCUAGAGCUUGAGUACGGGAGAGGAGAGUGGAAUUCCCAGUGUAGAGGUGAAAUUCGUAGAUAUUGGGAAGAACACCGGUGGCGAAGGCGGCUACUCUGGACCGUAACUGACGCUGAGGCGCGAAAGCGUGGGGAGCAAACAGG